GACAGAGGUCCCGAGCGUUAGGCGGAAUCACUGGGCUUAAAGCGUGUGUAGGCGGCGGCCUAAGUACCUUGUGAAAUCCCAACGGCUCACCCGUGGAACUGCUCGGUAUACUGGGUCGCUUGAGCCAACUUAGGGGCUACCGGAACAAAUGGUGGAGCGGUGAAAUGCGUAGAUAUCAUUGGAACGCCAAUGGUGAAAACAGGUAGCUGGGAGUGAUGCUGACGCU
rnacentral:rRNA from 1 species